CGAAAGCCUGACGGAGCAAUACCGCGUGAGGGAGGAAGGCUUUUGGGUUGUAAACCUCUUUUGUUAAGGAAGAAGAAAGUGACGGUACUUAACGAAUCAGCAUCGGCUAACUCCGUGCCAGCAGCCGCGGUAAUACGGAGGAUGCAAGCGUUAUCCGGAAUCAUUGGGCGUAAAGCGUCCGCAGGUGGCGUAUCAAGUCUGCUGUCAAAGACAGAAGCUCAACUUCUGAAAGGCAGUGGAAACUGGUAGGCUAGAGUACGGUAGGGGUUGAGGGAAUUCCCAGUGGAGCGGUGAAAUGCGUAGAUAUUGGGAAGAACACCAGUGGCGAAGGCGCUCAACUGGGCCGUAACUGACACUCAGGGACGAAAGCUAGGGGAGCG
rnacentral:rRNA from 1 species